GAGGUUGUGGCUCAGCAGUAGAGUGCUCGCCUAGCACGUGCGAGGCCCUGGGUUCGAUCCUCAGCACCAUUU
rnacentral:tRNA from 1 species